UUUGACUUCCAUACACUGCAGUGGAGGCAAGACAGUCACUGGCUGAGACCUCAGUCUCCAAGCUCCCCUGUCUUCCAGGGCUAGAACUGCAAAUGACCCACUUUAAACUACAAAUCCCAGCAUGCAGCAGGAGGCAGCCAGGGCAGUCAAAGUGGAAUAGUAGCACUGGAAUAAGGGUGCCGUGCGGUGACGUGAUUUAGUCUUGCCCAUCUGUCCAGACUCCCUCCCUUCCAACGUGAAAGAUAGCUGUACAUUUUCCAGGGAGAAACAUGAAUGUUGGAUGGUGUACAAGAAUAAAAGAACCCUUCUGAGGAACUAUUGUUUUGAAGGAGAUUGCCUUUGAGCAGAUACUGACAAAGAUGGCC